AGCAGCCGCGGUAAUUCCAGCUCCAAUAGCGUAUAUUAAAGUUGUUGCAGUUAAAAAGCUCGUAGUUGAAUUUCGGGAUCAAUGUUUCGGUCAUGCCGUUGGUAUGUACUGAUAUUAUUGAUUUCUCACCUUCUAAAGAACCGUAAUGCCAUUAAUUUGGUGUCACGGGGAAUUAGGACUGUUACCUUGAAAAAUUAGAGUGUUUAAAGCAGGCUCACGCUUGAAUACAUUAGCAUGGAAUAAUGAAAUAGGACAUCCGAUUCUAUUUUGUUGGUUUCUAGGAUCGG
rnacentral:rRNA from 1 species